rnacentral:rRNA from 1 species
UACGUAGGGGGCAAGCGUUAUCCGGAUUUACUGGGUGUAAAGGGAGCGUAGACGGCGAAGAAAGUCUGAAGUGAAAGCCCGCGGCUCAACCGCGGAAUGGCUUUGGAAACUUUUUUGCUGGAGUACCGGAGAGGUAAGCGGAAUUCCUAGUGUAGCGGUGAAAUGCGUAGAUAUUAGGAGGAACACCAGUGGCGAAGGCGGCCUGCUGGACGGUGACUGACGCUGAGGCUCGAAAGCAUGGGUAGCGAACAGG